CGUUUCUAAAAACUUUGUCUUGAAAACAAAUAAAAAAAAGAAACUA
rnacentral:tRNA from 1 species